CAUCGUUUUCAAAAGUGCAAACUGGAAGUGGUUUACAUUUUCCCACCCCAAGUUCCACCAGCUGUUCCUGACCGACCAGUAAGUUGUUCUUUGAUUGCUGAUGUUUCCAUGUUGUUUUCCUGAGCUUUGGAUGUUCUAUUUUCACUGUUUUCUUUCAGUCUCCAGCAAUUAUAGGUCUUGAUAGUUCUAUUUCUGUUAAUUAGGUUACUAGAACAUUUAUAGGUAUUGCAAAAAAUAUUAGAGGUGAACGUUCUCUGGUUCAUGCAGGUGAAUGUGCAUGAACUGCAAAUAUAUAAAUGUAGUUGUGUUGCUUCUCUGAUAUUGUUCUUGCAUUUGUUCUUGAAUAUAAAAUGUGCAUUCUUCAACAAUAAAGUUCCCUAAAAAUUUUAAAAAAUAGAAAAUGCCCUUGUGGCAUUACUUUUGGUGAAGUUACAACACACAUGAAUAUCAAAUGAGGAAAUGAAACUCAAUGAAUUUUCACAUCCCUUAUGAUAAAUCAUUAAGCAAAUUAGAGCCCCCAUGAGGUAACUAAUUGUUACAAUGACACGCCCUAUUUUUUAAAAAUUACAGAAACCUCAAUUCCUUUUUUUUUUUUUUUUCUAGAAUUGAUCCCCUUGUCAGCCAAAAACAAAUAUUUGUUUUAAUUCUACCUGCUUCUCUCAUACUACAUUUGAAAACUAUUAUUUCAUGAUAUUUAACCAUCUUUCUUUCUCAUUUCUUAGGAUAUUUUUCUAUAUUUUCUAUUUAGACGGGAGCACUGCUUUAAGUUAAAAGAGAUAUUUUUAUUAAUCUAAUGGAGAACUAAUAAUAGGCGGAAUGAAUUAUUUCAUUAGACCUCAAGUAUAUUUAUACAAGAUAAAAAAAAAUAUAUUUAACCCUUAAUUAAAUAAGGAAUGCACUGUAACUCUCUCCUCCAAGUUGGUGCAUGGAUAUCUCACAUGCCCAACAUAGAUAGUCAUGUAAAGAAUAAUCUACUAACUGUCAAAAUUGUAUUAUCCAAUAAUUGUCUUUCAAUCGAUGCCCCAAUUGAGGUUCAAUCGAUUCUUUAAAUAGAGAAAAUUACAACCUCUAAAUAUGGUAAUAAUCUAUACAAGGAAAAGUCUAAUUAUACAAUCAUUUUUUUUGAUAGGUAAUCAAAUAAUUUUAUUACUUAAAAGAGAAUACACGGGAAGUGUACAAUCACUUUAAGCCAUUAAGGAAAAACAUGAAAUUAGGCAACCCAUCUACAGGAUUUCUAGCCACAGCAUUAAACUAAGAAUACAAGGUAAAGUAAAAUGUUUCUCUUAUCUGCUCUCUUGUCUUUGUUUGGUUUUCGAAGCAACGGUUGUUCCUUUCUCUCCACACCCACCAAACAAUGCAGCCCGGAAUAAGGUGUCAUGCUAGUUUGCUAUCCUUAUCCCGAAAUUUUCUACGCCAUGCCCGUAUCACGUCUUUUAUACGAUGAGGCUCACCCAAUCCAUAGAUUAUGAACUGAGUAUAUUGUUCCAAAUCCAACGUACACCAUCAUAAUGAAUGAACAAAUGAUCGAUCAUCUCCCCAUCCUUCUUGCACAUAUAACACCACUCGGUUGCAUAAAAGCCUUUACGACGAAGAUUAUCCACCGUUGUGAUCUGUCCCCUCACAACUGUCCACAAUAGGAAUGCCACCCGAGGAGGCAAUUUACAUUGCCAUACCAACUUCCAGGGGAAUGAAUUAUUCACACAUCCCAUGAGGGAACCAAAGUACGAGCGAACCGAAAAAAUGCCAUCAUGUGCUGUCCUCCACCUGAUGCAAUCCCUCUCUCCAACCCGAAUUUGAGCCUCAUGUAAAAUGGUCAUAAACAGCGAAUAAUCUUCCAAUUCCCAAUCCUGAAGAUCCCUCCCAAAGGUAAUAUUCCAGCUAUAGCUCCCAUUAUGAAUGUCUAAGAGAUCACUCACCAUAGUAGUGGACACUGAGGCAAUGCGAUACAAAGAAGGGAAUCUCUCCUUCAGCGAUUGAUCUCCGCACCAACAAUCAUCCCAGAAUUUAAUCUCAUUACCAUUUCCAACCACAAACUUCAGUUUGUCCAAAAAAACACUCCAUCCCCGUUGGAUAUACCUCCACAAGCUCACCCCAUAAGAACCACGAUCCUCAAAUGUACACCAUCCCCCAUCGGUCACACCAUACUACGCCCCAAUUAUUUCUCUCCAAAAGCUGUCCCUCUCCACUCCAAAUCGCCACAACCACUUGCCUAAUAAGGCUUUAUUGAACAACACAAGGCUCUUCACCCCAAGACCCCCUAUCCUCAUCGGCAAACAAACAACUACCUCGCGAAUAGAAUGACAAUCAACUUCAAUGCGUUUGGUACGCUCAUGAAAAACUGGAUUAUUGGCGAUUUGAAUAGCACUGGUAUUAUUGGCAUAAAGAGGUGUAGGAGAAAGUUGAGGAACACCAAUUUCUCGUAACAAACCCCGAAGCUAAAUGAUUUCAGAACAAGUAGCCGACGUGGCUCGAUAUUCAGACUCAGUGGAAGAUUUCGAGAUACGAGCCUGCUUCUUACGUUUCCAAGAGAUAAGUGCGCCACCAAGAAACAUACACCAACCGGAGAUAGAACGACUAGUAUCAACACAACCAGCCCAAUCUGUAUCACUAAAUCCUACCAAUUGCAAUGAGGUACUAGAUGGAAAGAACAAACCACGACUAGAGGCACCUUUGAGAUAUCGAAGAAGACGACGUACAGCAGCCAAAUGGGCCUGACAUGGGGCUUGCAUAAAUUGACUGACUUAUUGGAUAGCGAAGGAAAUAUCGGGCUUGGUAAUGGUCAAAUAAUUCAAAUUGCCCACAAACUGGCGAUAUAACGAAGGAUCAGAUAAGAGAUCACCACCCUCUUAACGAAGUUUCAAAUUCACCUCCAUUGGUGUAAGAAUCGAAUUACUGCCCUGAAUACUGGCUAAUGUGAGCAACUCUUGUGCAUACUUAUGUUGAUGUAUCAUUGUGCCAAUUGGACAAUGCUGGAUUUCAAGGCCAAGAAAGUACUGGAGAGGUCUAAGAUCUUUCAUAUAAAAUGAAGAUUUAAGCUGUUAUUUGAGCUUGUCAAUCAACUGAGAAUCAGAACCCGUAGUCACAACGCCAUCUACAUACACAAGAAGUAUGACGAUCCUAGUAGAAGUAGUGUGGAAGAAGAGGGAAGAGUCAUAUUGACUCUAAGUAAAACUGAAGUCCAAAAAAGUAGAGCUAAAUUUUUCAAACCAAGCUCGAGGCACUUGUUUCAAGCCAUAUAUGGAUCGUUUUAAACGACAAACAUUUGUAGAAGGAGAAGAAAACAUGCCGGGUGGAGGAAACAUAAAUAUAUCUUCCUUUAGAUCACCAUGUAAAAAUGCAAUCUUUACAUCCAUCUGGCGAAGUGGCCACCAUUUUGAAGUGGCAAUGGCCAAAAUUAUACGAACAGUAGGAGCAAAAGUUUCAUCAUAAUCAAGACCAUAUUCCUGUCGAUUUUCGAGAGCCACUAAAUGAGCUUUAUACCUAUCAAUAGUGCCAUCAGAUCGUAAUUGGUGGUAUAAACCCAUUUGCAUCCAAGAGGUUUGACACCAAGUGGACAAGGAAUGAUAUCCCAAGUGUGAUUGUCCUGAAGAGCCUAAAUUUCAUAAGUCAUAGCUUGACGCCAACAUUCUUGAGUAGAGGCUUGAGAGUAAGACUUAGGUACAGAUAUAUUAUCAAGAGUAGCCUGAUGAGCAGAAUGUGAAAACCUAUACCUAUCUGGGGGCCGAGAGGUUCGAGCUGAUCGUUGAGGCACAUGUACGACAGGAUGAGUUACGGGAUCAGAUGUAGGAAGAGACAGUGGAUGACGGUGCUGAUACACAAGACUUGGCUCAAAACGAUUCUAAAGUCAUCAUCAAAGAAAGGAAGUGAAACAGUAGAGGAAGAAAUAGGCUCAGUACGAGAUGGAAAGAAAUAUUGAUUUUCAAAGAAAACAAUAUUUCUGGAAAUACGUAACUUAUUAGCUUCUGCAUCGUAAACACAAAUCCUUUGUGGGAAUUACUGUAGCCAAGAAAAGCACAUCUAACAGCUUGAGCAGCAAGUUUAUGAUGUUCAGGAGGAGGUAAGUGAACAAAGCGUACACAAACAAGAUAUGCAAAGAAUCAUAAUUAGGAAUGACACCAAAUAAACGAUAAUAUGGGGAAUCAAAAUUUAUGUUUGGGGAUGGCAGACAAUUAAUCAAAUACACAGCAGUAGAUAAGGCUUUCACCCAAAAUCGAGAAGGGACAUAAGAUUCAAGUAGGAGAGUUCAAACAACAUCUAGAAGGUGUCGAUUCUUACGCUCAGCGAUUCCAUUCUGUUGUGAGGUAUACGAACAAGAGCGCUGAUAGAUAAUUCCCUUCUGUUGUAGGUAAGAUUGAAAUUCACGAGACAUAUAUUCUCCACCAGAGUCAGAGCGUAGGAUCUUAACAUAAGUUGAAAAUUGUGUUUCCACACAGGCAACGAAAGUUUGAAAGAUAAGAAAUACCUCAGUUUUUGAUCGAAGAAAAUAGGCCCAAGUGAAACGACUAUAAUUGUCAAAUAAAUGUCACAAAGUACCUGUAUUGAGCAUGAGAGAUAACGGGACUUAUACCCCAAAUAUCAGUAUGAAUAAUCUCGAAACACAUAGAAGCGCGGCUACCAUGUAAAGAAAAUGGCAAAGAUUUACUCUUACCAAGCUUACAAGAUGCACAAUCGAAAGAUGAGUGUGAAGAAGAAAAUUCAUUCAUAUUAUUCAAAUAACCAUGCUUCAAAAGAUGUCUUAAAACAACAGAAUUGGGAUGUCCCAAUUUCUUAUGCCACAAAUGACUAUCAAGAGAAAUAACAGAAUAACCAACAUAAACAGAACGAGGAAUAGAAAAUGACUGAAGUGGAAAAAGACAUCCCACUUUAGGCCCCUUCGCUACCACCUGUCCCGAUGCUUGAUCCUGCACACGAUAACCAUUACGAUCAAAAUAAAUAGUAUAGUUAUCUUCUACCAGUUGGCCAACAGAAAUUAAAUUGGCAUAUAAAUAUGGAGAGAGAAAAACAUUAGUAAAGGAAGACUCGAAAUCUCCAACCGGCGUGAUAGGAAUAUUAUUGCCAUUAGCUAUCUGGAUAUGCUGCUCACCGUCAUAUUUAUGAACAUUAUUUAGAACUUCUAUAUUACCAGUCUGUAAUUGGAAGCCACAGAGUCAACUAACCAAGGAGAUAGAUUGUUUUUAUCUUGAAUGCUAAGCAUCAAGAAAGCAGAAAUAAUCAUCUGUUGAACAUAUUCAGGUGUAAGAGUUGAGGAGGAACCCGGCAUACCUAACUGAUCUGAAGAUGCAGCUGCAAGGUUGGACUAAACAGCAUGAUGAAAAGCAAGAGGUGAUGGAUUUUGAGGUCGGACACGACAAUCUUUGAUAAUAUGACCCUCCUUUUUACAAUAGUUGCAGAAUUUCUUAGUACAGUAUUUUGCAAUGUGACCAAACUCCUUGCACCUGUAACAGUGUGGUGACGAUUUGGAUUCUCCUUUGCCUUGUACGACAUAGGCUACAUUAACCAUCUCAAUAUUCUCAUUGUUCGGACUGAUGCUAUGCUGAGAAGCAAGUCGCUGUUCUUCAAGCAAAAGUUCCCCUAAGUAGACAUCCAAGGACGGUACAGGAUUGCGAUUAAUUGACCCAGCAUGUGCACUUUCAAAUUCGAGUCGUAAUUUCAUCAAAAACUCAUCCCAUUGACUUUCAGAAUGAACCAUUUGUACUGCUAAAGCAUCUUUAGGAAACUUUAGGCUGCACCAACUCCGAAUACUCGCUCCACAAGUUAAUAAAACCUGAAUAAAAUUGUUCAAUCGACAAAUUUCCUUGUCGAUAAUUCCCAAUAUCCAACUCUAAUUGAAAUUUUCGUGCAGAAUUAUCCUGAUAAUAAAUUCAUCGCAAAUAAUCCCACAUCUCUUUAGCAGUCGUAAAUGAACGAAGAUUAUUGACCAUAGUUGGUUCAAUAGAGCUUAGCAGCUACGAAAUAAUUCGAGCAUCUUUGUUUUUCCAUGAACUAAGCUCCUUAGGAUCCGUAGGGGCUUUAGACGAUCCAUCCACAUGGUUCCACAAUUUUUUACCUUUGACGAACAUCUUGAACUGAAAUUCCCAAGUAGGAUAAUUUUUACCAUUAAGACGAACAAUUGAAUUUUCUCUAGCCAUGACAACUGAAUUAAAAUAUCACCCAAUAACCAGCCCAAAUGAAACAGGCCCAAAUAAAUAGCACCAAUCCAAGAAAUUCACGCUUCAAACUAGUAACCCAAUAACCGGCCCAAAUAAAUACUACAGCCCAGAGAGAGAUUCACGUAAUACCUCCACACAGUUUCUGUCGACCACUGUUCUUGUCGACCACCCACCGGAAUAUUGUCAACUACCCAUCCAUAGAGGACACUGGAAUCGCGUCGAUCGCCGAGAGAAAAGCUGUGUUGCCCACCCAAGAGAUGCCGAAAAGAAGAGACGCCCUAAAUCGUGUCGAGCCUUCAGAUAGGACGCUGGAAUCGUGUCGAUUGCACACAAAGAGACGCUGGAAAUAUGUCGCGUCACUCACCAAUGAGACACCGAGAGUCCAGUCUUCCACACACGACGACAAUUUCUCACAGAGAUGCCAGAGAUUCUCUGUCACCACCAAUAACAGAAUUCCUGUUCUUCUUCUAUGGGUAUGGCUUUGAUACCAUGUCAAAAUUGUAUUCUCCAAUAAUUGUCUUUUAAUUGAUGCCCCAAUUGAGGUUCAAUCGGUUCUUUAAAUAGAGAAAAUUACAACAUUUAAAUAUGGUAAUAAUCUAUACAAGGAAAAGUCAAAUUAUACAAUCAUUAAUCUAUUGUUGGAAGAAACUCAAUCAAGAAGAUACUCCAUCAAUCUCGUUGACACUAGCAACAACAUGAGUCGUUAUAUUAGCUAAUCGAUCUACACUCAACAAGCAGAACAUCUAUAUUUUCAAGUUCGAGAUUAUCUUUGAUGUAGUUUGUGUCAAGCUCAACAUGUUUGAUUUAAUCAUGUUGUACUAGAUUAUUUACUUUCUCAAUAUUUGUUGUGUUAGUCACAGAAAAACACCAUGGAUUUCUUUGGACCAAACCUAAGCUUACCAAGGAGAAUUUUAAGCUGUAUAAGUUUGGUAAUGGCAUGAUGAAGAGCACAAUAUUGAGCCUCGAAACUAGACAACAAUAUCACAUUUUGUUUCUUACUCCUUCAAAGUCACCUAAGUUGCCCUUCCUUCGAUUUGUACCUUCUUCACAUUUUAUUGAAUAUUCCCAUUUCUCAUCUCAUCUAUUCUAGUCCGCCUGCUCAAAUCCAUCUUCACCAUCUUCAUUUACACUACUUCAUCUUGUGGACAUUUUGUCUUUUAAUAUCUAAACACUCAGUAACUUAGUCAGAGUAAUUAUUAUUUCGAGGAACUGACAUUUCAACCUUAUAGAUAUCUUCUUAUCAUACAAAAUUAAUUAAGUAAUCUAUCAUUUCAUUCAGAUAUGCUUUAUUAUGUUUGCAUAAUCUUCAGUCUCUCGUUCUUUGACAAUAACUGAACAUAAAUGUAAAAAACAAUCCAACUUUUAUUUAAAUGGCAUUGCUUGGUUUUGCUUAACCUAAGACCUUUAGAUUAUAAACUAUUUCCCUAAAGUUCUAACUUAAUAAUGAAAUCCCUUCUAGUUUCAUCAACUAGAACGAUUUUUUAAGAGAGUUAUUUAAACGAAAGAACUUCACCUUAGAUAUGUCUCAUAAACUCAUCCAUGACUAAAGCAAAAAGAUAAAGACUUAAAACACUACCUUCGUGCAGGCUUAUAGUGAUAAGACAUUUGAAUUAGUAACUGCCACCACAUCUCAUUCUCACGACUAGUCCAUCGUACAUAUCUUUAGUAAUAUUGAUAUUUCAAAAAGAAAUUCCGUCUCUAUAGCACCCAUCGUUAAAACUUUUCUAGGCACCCAAUCGUAGGCUUUUUCUAAAUCAAUAGAAUCCAUAUGCAGAUUUUGUUUCCUAUAUUAUGCUUCUGCAGAGAUCUUUUAAGCAGUUACAUGGCUUCCAAAGUAGAUCUCUCAUUAGGCUACACCUCAAUUCAUGCUCGAUUACCUUCUUCCACGAUUUCAUAGUAUAACUUGAAAACUUAGCACUUAAUAAUUUCUAUAAUCUUGAAUAUCUCAUAUAUUCUAGAAAUAUGUACCUUGAUUCCCUUCCUCGAAUCAGCCGACAAGUUCUUACUCUUAGGCUCUCAUCGAACAAUUUUAUCAAGCAUAUAAUAUUUACCUUCCCAGCACUUCCAUACUUCAAUCUUGCAAAGCAAAUCAUUUUUACGAAACAGCCCUCGCAUGAUUUUUCAUAUAAAUUUAUAGUAUGCAGGUCUUCAAUAGACGUCCACAGACUCAACAAUCAGAAAAAAAAUGUCAGCUUAUAUGUCCCUUUUCUAUUUUAAUUUGAUCGAAAUGUUGGAAAUAAUGUUACUCCACCAAAGAUGAGAACGAAUUACAAAUAGAAAAAUUAUCGAAAGAAGUAUAGGAGAUGAACAAAUGGCAAAGGAUAUAUGAAGAACUUUGAAGGCUCAAACACAAUCUUUGAUUGUUGUCCUCAAACGAAUUUUGCCCCCACUAUUUUGGUGUUUAAAGGGUGAUCCGGCAAAAGGUUUGAAGGAUUAAUCAAGCCUUAUAGAGAUUCAAACACUAAACACUUGUUUGAAUCUCUAAAACUUAAGAACACAAAGAAAAGAUGAAUAUGAGAGGGUAUUUUAUCUUUUGGAUUUGAUCUCAAGAAGGAUCAAUAUAAUAAGUGUUUUUCAACAUUUUUUCAAUGACCCAAGAUCACCUAUUUAUAGCCAAGUAGUAUAGCUUUACGAAGUGGUGCACCUUAUGGAUGAAAAGCCACCAAAAAAUUAACAAAAAACGACCCAACGGUCGUUUUUCUGUACCAUGCGACCGCAUGGUACAAAGCCAUGCGGUCGCAUGGUACAAUCCUACCGAGACCAUAUGGUCUCGGCAUGUCGCAUGGCCUAAUUUUUUUUUAUUUUUAUUGUUGGUUUUGAACAAUUAUACCACUUCAUAACAAUCCCCCACUUGUUCAAAAUUAACAAGUUUCUCAUUAUUCAAAUUAUACGAUACUCAUGCAUAAGGAUUAGAUAUCUUUCGAUUUGAAUCUAACCAUAGUGUAAUUCAAACAAAGUAAAGUCGAAAUUCAAGGUAGCGUGAAGCUUUGAACCAAGUAUUUCAUGUGACAAUACCGGUAAGAACACACACACGAAUAUCACGUGUUCUCAAGUUCCUCGUUUCUCGCUUAGCGCUUUUAUGGCCUUGCGCUUAUCCUUUUCAAUAAACUUUUAAGAGAGAACUCCAACUCUCUAUUAAGGCGGCACCACCUUGAAGUUUAUUUAGGUAAAGUUCUUCCAAUACCUUUGUUACUUUUAGAAGUACUUGUGGUUUUACACUGAACUUUAUUAAGAGCUUAUAGCUCAACCCUCGUUUUAGUAACAACCAGCAUUAUAUUAAUCUAGGAUAGGAUUAUUAUGGAUUAUAAUAAUGCUGUAACUAUCCACAUAUCGAAUGACUUGUUGACACCCUUUGAACCCAUGAAAAACCUUUUGAGUAACGACAGGUAGGGUUGCCAUCAUUGGUGGAUAUUUCAGUUAAGGAGUUUCAAUCCCAUCCUACUUGAAGUAGAUGCCACUAAAUCUCUAUUUAGAGGUUUAGUUAGAGGAUCCGCCAAAUUUUCAUUCGACCUUACAUAAUUUAGGGAAAUUAUUCCAUCCUUGAUUAACUUCCUUAUGUAGUUGUGUCUAAGACUCAUAUGUCUAGACUUCCCAUUAUAUACAUCAUUGUAUGCUUUAGCUAAAGUGGCUUGACUAUCACACAUUAUUGGUAUUGAAGAAAUAUUCUUUGAUCCCAAAGGUAUCUCAUAGAAUAAGUCUUUAAGCCAUUCAGCCUCCUUUCCUGUAUCUGAUAGGGCUACAAAUUCAGAUUCCAUAGUUGAAUGUGUUAUGCAUGUUUGUUUAUUGUUGGUUUUGAACAAUUAUACCACUUCAUAACACGAAAAAAGAAUAAUUUUAUUUGUAGAGCAAGAUCAAAUUGAAGGAUAAAGGACUAAUAAUUGACGAAUAAAGUCAUACUUCCAUUGUAGUGAAUCUUCCAGAUAUAUGAUAUUUUCCAGGACAAAGUUGUUCUCACUUCUCAGUCUCCUACAUGCACACAUGCAGACACACAAAAUGGAAAAUCCGCAAGUCGUCACCUAGAUGCAAAAUGGAAAAUAUAUUUUAUUUGGAAAAGGAAAAGAAAACCCGGGUAACAUAUGCUAUUUUAUAAAUUUGAGUUAAAGAUCAAUAAAUUGUACCUGAUUGAAACAAGCUGUAGAGAAAAUGAAUAUUUGGAAUGGAGGAAAAAAUUUUGGUUGGAGAUGGAGAGAAACAGAUGAGGUGGUCUUGAUUUUCUUCUUUAUUAUUGGGGUUCUGCAUUGUGAUUAGUUGUGGGCUGGUUCAAUGCAGAAACCAAUCAUAAUUCAACAAAUAAAAGUAAAAAAAUUCUGUUAGACCGGUCUGGGCUCUGGCUUAAAAAUAAUUCGCGAGAACCAGAAUGAACUGUCUGUUUCUCAGUCGAGAAAAUGAAAUUGAAUAUUUUGCUAGAGCCCUGGCUGCUGGUUAUGGUUAGGUUUUUCAAUUGCUGUUCUAGUGGAAAUGGUUCAUUCUUUUAGGUCAGAAAUGUGCUCAUAGUAGUUCAAAUCAACCGACUAAAUUAUUCAUAUGAUGGUGCAAAUACAUUAUUUAACAUUAAACUCAGGACUUAUUUAUGAGCAUGUAAGAUGUAACUGUAUUUUCUCUAGCUGAAUGGGAAUUUUUUAAAGCAUUAAUGACCUUUUGAUGUUUGCCAGAUGAAUUGAUUAGUGUAUGGUUUCAAUGUAGUCUUUCUCACGUUUGUUACAAUUUAGAGAUAUCUAAGUCUGUCAGAGUAGUCUUUCUCACGUUUAUUACAAUUUAGAGAUAUCUAAGUCUGUCAGAUGAAUUGAUCAGUGUAUAGUUUCAAUGUAGUCUUUCUCACGUUUAUUACAAUUUAGAGAUAUCUAAGUUUGUCAGAUGAAUUGAUCAGUGUAUAGUUUCAAUGUAGUCUUUCUCACGUUUGUCACAGUUGAGAGAUAAUAUUGAUUAAUUUUCUCUCGUGUAUCGUUCUUUUUCUCUUUGAAAACUUUUGACACAAGUCGGGGCAAGAUAUUGCAGCUUACAAGCAUGAACUGAAGUUUUUGCUCGUUUGCAAUUUGCAAAUCUUUCCUACCUUUGAAAUAUGGUGAUAAUUUACUUUUACUACCUUUUCAACGUGUGUAGGUUGUAGCGGGGCAUGAUAGAAAUGGAAAUAAUGGUCGUGAUGUAAUCUUGGGGUGGAUUGUCAUUGGCUUGUUGGCAUAAUUAUCUGGUACCUCAUCAAAAUGGCGAUGCCACUCAUUGGGCAUUUAUCUUUGGUUUUUAACUACAC
rnacentral:lncRNA from 1 species